GAUGAACGCGAGUCGGCGUGCCUAACACAUGCAAGUCGUAUGGGGCUUCGGCCCCAUGGCGUACGGGUGAGUAACACGUGGGCACCUGCCCCCAGAUACGGGUAUAAUGGAGGGAAACCUUCGGUAAUCCCCUAUAGGCGCAGGAAGUGCUUUGGAAAGUUCUAGCUGCUAGCUAGAGUGUCUGGGGAUGGGCCUGCGGCUGAUUAGCUAGUUGGUGCGGGUAAUGGCCUACCAAGGCGAGGAUCAGUAGCUGGCCUGAGAGGGCGGCCGGCCACAUUGGGACUGAGACACGGCCCAAACUCCUACGGGAGGCAGCAGUGGGGAAUCUUCUGCAAUGGGCGCAAGCCUGACAGAGCGGCGUCAUGUGAAGGAAGAAGGCCUGAAAUAGGUUGUAAACUUCUUUUACUGAGUAAUGAAUACUGACAACGCAGUAAAAAAGUAUCGGCUAACUCCGUGCCAGCCGCCGCAGUAACAC
rnacentral:rRNA from 1 species